UACCUAACCCUCUAAGUUUGUCUUAGAGGUAUGGUACAAAAAACAUCAACGAUAAAGAUGGUCUUCUGACCGGCACUUCGUCGUUGAUGUCUAUGCUCGAAAGGGUAUAGAGUAGUUCCCGAAAGGGACUAUU
rnacentral:sRNA from 1 species